rnacentral:rRNA from 1 species
UACGGGGGGGGCAAGCGUUGUUCGGAAUUACUGGGCGUAAAGGGCUCGUAGGCGGCCAACUAAGUCGGACGUGAAAUCCCCAGGCUCAACCUGGGAACUGCGUCUGAUACUGGAUGGCUUGAAUCCGGGAGAGGGAUGCAGAAUUCCAGGUGUAGCGGUGAAAUGCGUAGAUAUCGUAAGGAAGACCAGUGGCGAAGGCGAAUCUCUGGACAGUUACUGACACUGAGGCACGAAGGCCAGGGGAGCAAACGGG